UGCUUAAAGAAAUAAUUUUAAGUAACACCUGCUCAAUGAUAAUUUUAAAUAGCCGCAGUUCAUCUGUGCUAAGGUAGCAUAAUAAUUUGCUUCUUAAUUAGAAGAUAGAAUGAAAGGUAAAACGGUUAAAGUCUGUUUCAUUAAAACAAAUAAAAUUUAUUUAAACGUAAAAAAGCAUUUUUAAAAAAGAAAGACGACAAGACCCUAAUAAACUUUACAUUUAGUUAGGGCGACAAUAAAAUAAAAUCUUAUAAAAUAAGACUACAAAACUAAUAUAAAUAAUAAAGAUCAGUUACUAUAGGGAUAACAGCGCUAUUUUCUUAAAAAGUUCUUAUAAAAAAGAAAGUUUACGACCUCGAUGUUGAAUUAAUUCACGUAUAAGCGCAAAAGCCUAUUAGUUAGUCUGUUCGACUAUUUAAUUAUU
rnacentral:rRNA from 1 species